CCCUACCACUAAUCUUUUUCCCUACCACUACUCCUACCUCUCCACCACACUACUCCUUUUCCCCCACCACUACAUUCUUUCUCCCACUCUCACAACUUUUCUCCCACCAUUAUCACACUCCAUAGAAGCCUUUGAAGCCCCAAGAGAAGUAGCAAAGCAAGGGAGAGUGUGGGAAAACUAUAGAGUGAAGGUUGUGCUUCGAGGGUCCGGGCGACAGAAAGUGAAGCCGAAGAAGAAACGACUCCACGCCAGCUUUAAGAACAAUUGAGGUUGAGCAGGCGAUGGAAUGGAUCGGUGUUGAGCGGAUUUCCCUUUUGAUGUUUAUGUAAUGAAACCUUGAGUAUGCAUCUCCAUAUGCAUAACUCACACGUUUUUUCGCUGCAAACACUCUGACUUAUUUAUCAUUUCUACUUGAACUUAUUACUACUUCAUUUUAAUUAACUUUCAGUUGGGGUCUAGUCGUUAUGGCAGACUCAUUUGUGAAUUACCCAAGUGGUUAUAUAUAUAUACCACUAGUUUGUUAUUAA